UGAGGAAUAUUGGUCAAUGGCCGCAAGGCUGAACCAGCCAUGCCGCGUGCAGGACAACGGCCCUACGGGUCUUAAACUGCUUUUGGAAGGGAACAAUAAAGACUACGCGUAGUUUGACGAGCGUACCUUCCGAAUAAGCAUCGGCUAACUCCGUGCCAGCAGCCGCGGUAAUACGGAGGAUGCAAGCGUUAUCCGGAUUCAUUGGGUUUAAAGGGUGCGUAGGCGGCUCAUUAAGUCAGCGGUGAAACUCACGGGCUCAACCCGUGACCUGCCAUUGAUACUGGUAAGCUUGAAUACGGAUGAAGCGGGAGGAAUGUAUGGUGUAGCGGUGAAAUGCAUAGAUAUCAUACAGAAGGCCGAAUGCGAAGGCAUCCCGCUAAUCCGUCAUUGACGCUGAGGC
rnacentral:rRNA from 1 species